AAAGGAAUGAUAAAAAAGACUAGUUUUAAUUUGUUGCUGUGCUAUUUUUCUGUAUCUGUAUAAAAAGACAAAAAAAAAAAGAAAAGUAAGGAAGGAAAGGGAGGAAUGGAAGGAAAGGAAGAAAAGCAAAAACAAAUCAAAAGAAGAAGAAAACAGAACCAUUCAGUCCUUAAAUCAAGGACUGUCAGGACAAGUAGCCUUGGAAACAGUUUCAUGUUUAUUCAUCAUUUUCAAGGAAGCAGGAUUUCAUGUUUGGUUUUAAUAAUAACUGAGAGAGAAUCAGAAAGGAAAUAACAUUAAUAACUCUCCUCCCAUCUGCAAACUGAUUUCCACAGAGAACAGUCCAGCAAGAUUUUGGUAGACUGCAUAAUAUCAACCAAGGCUUUGGAAUCACCUUCUCACCAACAAAAAGUCACCUGAAGAAUCAAAUACACCAUCUGGUCAGAGUAAUGUACUAACAGGCUCAAGGGAAUUGUUUACCAAAGCCUGCUGAGCCAGACAGACCAACGGACGUAUUGUGAAAUGGAUAGUCUCCCAGUGAGACUACCUAAAAAGACACAAAUAAUAGUCCUUGAGUGACACUAGACCAGAUGAUCACCUUUCCUUUCCAGUGAAACCCAGAUAUUGUAAUGUGCUUCAGGAAAUCCCCUAUUAAGAAAUGCCUGAAAGGCAAGGACUGAGGUCACGAGAUUGUGGCGUGGAGAAUCAUUAACACGUGACAGCCCAAAUUCUGGUGUCUAGCACACUUCAAAGCCAAUUUGGCCAGAUUGCAGUGGGGAUGUUGACUCCUCAGAGCUGAAGCAUGGAUUAAGUUCAGUGGUUAAAUGUACAUUAAGCUACUCAUCCAAUUGCAACAGUGAGCAGCUUUCACAGAGAAAAGCAGAGAAUAGAGUCACACUUGGCUUCAGAGCAGAAAUCUGGCAACUAGCUUUGCUUGGCUCCUGAGAAUAUUCCUGACGGCAGGUGAGAACCAGCUCUAAACUGGGGUGGCAUCAGCAGUGCACUGGGAGACAAUCACUAUAAAGAAGUGAACAAAGGCACUGCCUCGCUUUUCAUCUCUACAGAGCAACAGUGUCUCCUGGUGGUCAACGAGCAGUUAGCGUCAGAC
ensembl:lncRNA